GAUGAACGCUGGCGGCGUGCUUAACACAUGCAAGUCGAACGAAGCACUUUAUUUGAUCUCCUUCGGGACUGAUUAUUUUGUGACUGAGUGGCGGACGGGUGAGUAACGCGUGGGUAACCUGCCUUGUACAGGGGGAUAACAGUUGGAAACGGCUGCUAAUACCGCAUAAGCGCACGGCAUCGCAUGAUGCAGUGCGAAAAACUCCGGUGGUAUAAGAUGGACCCGCGUUGGAUUAGCUAGUUGGUGAGGUAACGGCCCACCAAGGCGACGAUCCAUAGCCGAGCUGGGAGGGUGACCGGCCACAUUGGGACUGAGACACGGCCCAAACUCCUACGGGAGGCAGCAGUGGGGAAUAGUGCACAAUGGGCGAAAGCCUGAUGCAGCGACGCCGCGUGAGCGAAGAAGUAUUUCGGUAUGUAAAGCUCUAUCAGCAGGGAAGAUAAUGACGGUACCUGACUAAGAAGCACCGGCUAAAUACGUG
rnacentral:rRNA from 1 species